rnacentral:rRNA from 1 species
AGUGAACGCCGGCGGUAGGCCUAACACAUGCAAGUCGAACGGCAGCACAGGAGAGCUUGCUCUCUGGGUGGCGAGUGGCGGACGGGUGAGGAAUACAUCGGAAUCUACUCUGUCGUGGGGGAUAACGUAGGGAAACUUACGCUAAUACCGCAUACGACCUACGGGUGAAAGCAGGGGACCUUCGGGCCUUGCGCGAUUGAAUGAGCCGAUGUCGGAUUAGCUAGUUGGCGGGGUAAAGGCCCACCAAGGCGACGAUCCGUAGCUGGUCUGGGAGGAUGAUCAGCCACACUGGAACCGAGACACGGUCCAGACUCCUACGGGAGGCAGCAGUGGGGAAUAUUGGACAAUGGGCGCAAGCCUGAUCCAGCCAUACCGCGUGGGUGAAGAAGGCCUUCGGGUUGUAAAGCCCUUUUGUUGGGAAAGAAAUCCAGCUGGCUAAUACCCGGUUGGGAUGACGGUACCCAAAGAAUAAGCACCGGCUAACUUCGUGCCAGCCGCCGCCGUAA